AUCAUGGUUCAGGACGAACGCUGGCGGCGUGCCUAACACAUGCAAGUCGAACGGUCUAAUGCUUAACACUGAGUGUUCAGUAAAGUUGGAACUGCGAGAGCGCGAAGAAUGAGCGCUCCACGCAUUAAAUAAGUGCCAACACAGCUGGAAACUGAAUGUUGAGUGUUAAGUAUUAGAUAGUGGCGGACGGGUGAGUAACGCGUGGGUAACCUACCCAUAAACCCGGGACAACCCUUGGAAACGAGGGCUAAUACCGGAUAAUCUUAGAUCUUGGCAUCAAGGUAUAAGGAAAGGUGGCCUCUGAAUAUGCUACCGAUUAUGGAUGGACCCGCGUCUGAUUAGCUAGUUGGUGGGGUAAAGGCCUACCAAGGCGACGAUCAGUAGCCGGCCUGAGAGGGUGAACGGCCACACUGGGACUGAGACACGGCCCAGACUCCUACGGGAGGCAGCAGUGGGGAAUCUUCCGCAAUGGACGAAAGUCUGACGGAGCAACGCCGCGUGUAUGAUGAAGGUCUUCGGAUUGUAAAGUACUGUCUUUGGGGAAGAAUGACUGAUUUGAAAAUAUUGAGUCAGUAUGACGGUACCCAAGGAGGAAGCCCCGGCUAACUACGUGCCAGCAGCCGCGGUAAUACGUAUGGGGCAAGCGUUGUCCGGAAUUAUUGGGCGUAAAG
rnacentral:rRNA from 1 species